GUCUUUUUGUUAAUAAUUUAAAGUCAAAUCUGCCCACUGAUUUAUUAUUAAAGGGCUGCAGUAUAUUGACUGUACAAAGGUAGCAUAAUAAUUAGUCUUUUAAUUGAAGACUUGUAUGAAAGAUUUGAUGAGAUAUAGACUGUCUCUUUUUUAUAGUUAGAACUUAAUUUUUUAGUAAAAAAGCUAAAAUUUUUUUAAAAGACGAGAAGACCCUAUAGAGUUUUAUAAUUAAGUUUAAUUAUAUAUUUAUAUUUAAAUUUAAAAUUAAUUAAUUUAAUUAUUUUAUUGGGGUGAUAGAAAAAUUAAAAUAACUUUUUUUAAAUUUAAACAUUAAUUAAUGAUUAUAUGAUCCAUAAUUUAUGAUUAUAAGAAAAAAUUACCUUAGGGAUAACAGCGUAAUUUUUUUUUUUAGUUCUUAUAAGAAAAAAAGUUUGCGACCUCGAUGUUGGAUUAAGAUAAAAUUUAAAUGCAGAAGUUUAAAAUUUUUGAUCUGUUCGAUCAUUAAAAUCUUACA
rnacentral:rRNA from 1 species